UGAUCACCUGUAACGAGAAAGAGGAAGGAGGAAAAGGGGAAGGAGCAGAGAGAGGGAGAGAGAGGCAGAGAGAAACGUGCUUGAGAAGUUCUGAACUUUAGCACCUGACUUUUUAGGCAGGAGCAAACCCAUCCCAUCUCUGAGCCAGCCCUGGGAAGCGCCGCUCUGCCCUGAACCCACCUCUCCCAGCGCCUCUUUCUCUUUCGCUCUCUCCCCGCCCGGCUCGCAGCGAAGCCCGUGCAGCCGCGGCUCCGAUUCCCGCUUCGCUUUUUCUCUCUUUUUUUUUUUUUUUUUUCCUCACUUUUUUCCCCCGUUUCUUUACUUUUCUUCUUUCAUUUUCACUCCUUCCCUCCCCCCCCCCCCUUUUUUUUUUUUGUCGCCGCUGUUGUUUGUUUGUUUAUUUAUUUGCUCAAUUUGCACCUGAGCAGCUCCAGUGCCUUAAGCCCGGGAAGGCAUUCUUUCUGAAAGGAGCAGGAUGGCGCCAGCCGGCUCAGUGCUUACAGACAGCUGUGGCGAGACGCAACUUAAGGAGGUUCCAGUGUCAUAAGCACGGGGGAGGCGGAGCCUGGCCCAGGAAAAUAACUUUUCCCACUAGCCACGAAACUCUGGGAGCUGAGGGCAGCGCGGGUGCCGCUCCCGGACGCUGUGGGCUGCACGGGGGUCGUUCCUUCCGCCUCCCCCCGGCCCAUCCCAAUGGAUGCAGAGCCUCAGGACGAGCCGUUGCUCCGGCAGGUGCAACACCUCCGGGAAAGAAAGCCGCGUCUCUUCGUGCUUAAAGCCGCUCUGACUCGGGAAAUAUUUUUCUUUAAGGACCUGAGCGCCAAGUUUGGAAAUAACACAAUUUGGGGACGUUUAGCGUUGUUUUGUUGGAGUUUUCUGGGGCUUUUUUUUUUUUUUUUUUUCCCUUCAAGUUCCAGCGGAGAUCUCGGUUCUACAGGAGAUCUGUUACAGACAGGCACGGUGUGCCCG